CCUACGGGAGGCAGCAGUGGGGAAUAUUGCACAAUGGGGGAAACCCUGAUGCAGCAACGCCGCGUGAGUGAAGAAGUAUUUCGGUAUGUAAAGCUCUAUCAGCAGGGAAGAGAAUGACGGUACCUGACUAAGAAGCCCCGGCUAACUACGUGCCAGCAGCCGCGGUAAUACGUAGGGGGCGAGCGUUAUCCGGAUUUACUGGGUGUAAAGGGAGCGUAGACGGUGCUGCAAGUCAGAAGUGAAAGCCCGGGGCUUAACCGCGGAACGGCUUUGGAAACUGUGGAACUGGAGUGCUGGAGAGGCAAGCGGAAUUCCUGGUGUAGCGGUGAAAUGCGUAGAUAUUAGGAGGAACACCAGUGGCGAAGGCGGCUUGCUGGACAGUAACUGACGUUGAGGCUCGAAAGCGUGGGGAGCAAACAGGAUUAGAUACCCUAGAAGUC
rnacentral:rRNA from 1 species